rnacentral:tRNA from 1 species
GGGCUUGUAGCUCAGUUUGGCUGGAGCGUUCGGCUGAUAACCGAAAGGUCGAGAGUUCAAAUCUCUCCAGGCCCA